GUCCACGCCAUAAACGAUGAAUGCUAGCCGUUGGGCAGCUUGCUGUUCAGUGGCGCAGCUAACGCAUUAAGCAUUCCGCCUGGGGAGUACGGCCGCAAGGUUGAAACUCAAAGGAAUUGACGGGGGCCCCGCACAAGCGGUGGAGCAUGUGGUUUAAUUCGACGCAACGCGCAGAACCUUACCAGGGUUUGACAUCCUGCGACCGCCCUCUAACAGGGGUUUUCCCGCAAGGGACGCAGAGACAGGUGCUGCAUGGCUGUCGU
rnacentral:rRNA from 1 species